UCUGCAGAGGUUGCGCACUUUUUCCCACAAGACUCGACCACCUCCAUGAUGGGAAGAUCGAGACAUAGUCUUUCGAAAAUGUUUCUCCUUCACCCACGGAUAGGUCGGUACACCUACAUCAUUCUAUAUCUGCUAGCCCAUCCCGGAAGGGGUCACACUAACUACUCAACUAAGCCAGAGCCCAUAUUGGCUUGUGGCAGCACACGUAAGCUUCUAGGCAUGAGAACACGAUUGAUCUCUUUGAGCCUGAGCGGACGGUCCACUAGUGGUGCACCACCAUGGAUUUCCCAUGCGUGCCCCACUGUACUUCGCCACCAUUCCAACAAGUUUCCGCCCAGGUAGUUCAUUAAUUAUCUUAGGUCCUAUUUACUACAUUUUCACUCAACCUUUACCAUGAUCACUCCCCAGUCCAUGUCUACUUAGCGAAGCAACAUAAUGUAAAAUGAUGGCGACAAUGUUAUAUGGUUCAGACCUACCUCAAUGAACUACUGGGUGAAAAGCAUAGUCAUAUGGCAUUAAUUCCUACCAUGCAGUCCUACCGCAAAGAACUAAGUGCAUAAAAAAAUAUAGGUAAUGAAAACAUGAUCAAGAUGCAACUUGCCUUGGUACUGCUGGUUGAAUUCUAAAGACUAAUAAUAUUCUGCUUCGCACUCCGGGCAAUCUACCGCAAAGAAAAUAAACAAACAUAAGCAAACAUUCCAGAGAACCAAAAGAACAUGCAAAGCAAAAAGUCUUGAAAAAACCAAAUGAACAUACAACACACUAAGCUACCACAAAAAUAUUCUAAGUGCAAAACAACAUAGGCCUAUGGUUCAAAAAGUGAUGUGAGCUAUAGUGCAUACUAAUAAAAAUAUUAAAGGCUAGAUUCUAAUGUGUGAAAACUAUUGUGACAAAGGUCCAGAUGAUAGGGUUCGGCUAUGGUGACAGAAUGCAAAAGGAAUCAACUUAAUCGGAGCUUUGGUUUGGGAGAUAUGGUCAUUUGAAGUUCGAAUUAGAAUCUGAAUAAAUUCAAAUUUGAAUCUACCAAAAGUUUGCAAAAAGGGUACCACUGGAUAGAACUAAACAUGACGAAGAAUUUGCCGUUGGUUUCAUCGAGUUUGGAUCUACGGUUUAAAAGUUAUGGCUAAUCUAAGAUCGGGGACUAAUCUGUGAUAAAAGGGACUAGACAAUGAAGAAAAACUAUCACAAACAGGUCCUUAGCGCGUGGCAGAUUCCUACUGGCCGAAAGGUGUUCGCCGCGUAGCUUAUACAGCGGACGACCACAAUCUAAGAAAAACGGCGGCGGCGGCUAACUUAUACAGAAACCGAUCGGUUUUUAGAAUAAAAACCCGCGGUUAACUGCGUACGGUUCAACUAAAAAACAAACUAUCCUAAUCUAAUCUGGGCCGUAGGUGAUCGAUCUAACGGGAGGGAGUGGGGCGGUGGCUUACAGCGGGUGGUGGUGGUGGCCGGCGACGCGGCGUCGGUGACGGAGGGGCGGCGGCUGCGGUGGUCCUCGGCGACGGGGAAGAAGACGAGGAGGUGCGGAGCGGUUUGGGCGUCCGGAUGGUGGCAUCGGGGCUCAUCAGGGGCGUCGGGGUCGGCGAGGCGAAGGCGGAGGCACUCCGUGGGCUCCGGCGAGGUCGGGUGUCGUCGGGGGCGGGUGCUCCGGCGGGUCCUGGGGUCAAAAAACAUGUCAAACAGAUGCGCGUUGUCGCGGGGAUCCAAUUGACAAAGGAAGGAGAGCUAGGGGGUGCCACAGACGACGAAAUGGACGACGGAGUGGCACGGCUCUGGCGUGAUGCGAACGGCGACAGCGAGCGGUAGGGGCGGCGUGGGAAGAAGCUGGACGGCGAGGUUGGAAGAGGGGGUCCUGGCCUUUAUAUAGGCGUGGCUAGGAGCGCUACGGGGCUGCGGAUAAGCCUCAUCCGCGAGGGAGCCGAGCGGCGGUUGCGGGGGCGCGGCGAGGAUGUUUAUCCUGCGGGCUGCGGGAGGUUGGGGACGAGCUGACGAGCGGGGCCUGCCUGGCAGCGGCAGGGAGAGGAGGCGAGCGAGGGCGCAUGCGGGGCGGUCGACCGGUGUCGGAGGGUUUCGGGCGCUGGGCGCUGGGCGCUGGCCUUGGGCCAAAUGGCUAGCUGGGCCGGUUGGGACGCUCCUGGGCCGAACCCAGUUUCGGUCCAGGCUGCGGUGAGUGCGUGUGUGCGUGCGUGUUUCUUUUUUUUUAACCAAACACUAAAGUGGCCCUAAAUAAUUCAAAUGAAUUAAUAAAAACACCAAAAUAAUUUCUAAAAUAACUAUAUAAUAUUUAGAACCUAAUGAACAUUAACUUACGCACAGAACAUUUUGAAAAUAUUUUGCUAAUGCAAUUAAUGCACUUUUUGCAUAAAAGAUAAAUACUGAUAAACUUCAAAACUUCAAAUAAUAUUCAAAAUAAAAUUUCCCACUCCUUUAUAAGUUUGAGGAAGCCAUCUUAUCCCCUCUCAUUCGUUUUUCUCGAGUGGAAAAAUAUUAGUUGAAUACUUCAAAAACUCCAAAAUGCAAAGAAAUAUGAUAUGCAUUGAAUGAUUCUAUUAACAUCCAAAUUUAAUAAAAAUUGGGAUGUUACAUACUACCCUAUAAAAAUAUGUUUGCUUAGCCUGCACCAACGUAAAUUUACGCACACACAAAUAAAAAAGGCUGUACUAUCUAUGUUUUCUUGCGGGGAGUUAUUACACUACCCUACAAAAAUAUGUUCGCUUAGCCUGUACCAGCGUAAAUUUAGGCGAACACAAACAAAAAAGGCUGUACUAUCACUGUUUUCUUGCGGGUACUCAGUUAUUACACUACCCACUCAGUUAUAUUACCCUAGAAAAAUAUGUUCGCUUAGCCUGGAAGCAAGGAAGAUACGGAGUAUAUGCGUGCCACUGCAAGUAUAUAAGCAAGCCCCCGUCCCUCCUCUACAUUCAUCCAUCAUACAAUCCAUCUUGAAGGUCUUAAUCUGUCAUAGAACCCUCUCAAUCUUUCACAGGAAAACUAGAUGGAUCGGUCCAUGAAGGUCUUUGCGGUCGUCUUCCUGCUCCUUGUGGCCACAGGUGUGUAUGUUGUACUUACUGUUUAAGAUAACUGAUAAUACUGCUAAAUUAUGUAUCAAAACGUUGUAUAUUUUGGAACGGAGGUAGUAUGUGAGGUGGCUGAUUUGCUCUUAACAAUUUGCCCGUGUAGGCUUCCAGGGAGCGGUGCAGGUUGCUUUGGCGAGGGACUGUACUUCACAGAGCCACAAGUUUGUGGGGCUGUGCCUGAGCGACCGCAACUGUGCAAGUGUUUGCCUGACCGAGUAUUUCACCGGAGGCAAGUGCGACCACCGACGUUGUGUCUGUACCAAGGGCUGCUAGAUGGCCCGUAAUCUUCUUGCACACAUGCUUCCGUGUAAUAAUAAUAACUGCUGAAUAAUAAGACUAGAUCUGCAUCUAUGCAUGUAUGAUGCAUAUGUGAGUGCUACUCCUAGAAAGUACAUGAACAUCAUAUAAUCCGAACAAAGUUUCAGCAGGGAACCAGUUCGAGUUGAAUAACCCAACACUCCGGAACCGGAGCGGCUACCGUUCUCGGGAUUGAAGCGAAUAUAAGCUUAAAAACUGGAACAAAUGAGACAUGAAACUUUACUGGAAGUCUAGAAGGGAAGUCAUAUUUCGUAAGAAAGAAAAAUAAAUCGUGGGAGUAGACAUAGCACCACACCAGAAGAUUUGGCCAUGACUUAGUGCAGAACCAAAAGUACCUAAGAAUCUACACAGAUUACAAGAACCGAACUUGCAGGAGUAACUUUUGCAGAAUUGCUGCUAUGUAUACAGAAGUAUUGUGGAGACAAGAGAUCUAAGAAUCUAGUUCGGCAAUCUACAUAUUUUAGACCAAUUCAUUGUGUUGAGCUGAAGGACAUCAUAUGACAAAGAAAGUAACACCCAGAUCUGCUGUCCAGACUCACAUACCUCAGUCACAGAACAAAAUAUACGAGGAUGGACGACAGGCCCGAGGUGUCAUUUUUACAGCUCAGUUUAAUAAUUUGGGAUAAAUCUAUGGCUUCGUGUAAUUAAUUUUUAAAUUUAUACGUUUCCUUAAAAGUUUUGCAACCAGAAUGUAUAUGGUUUUCUGGAUGAAUACGGUUUCAACAUAUAGGGUCUGAAAUAAGAGAGACGUAGCCUAAACAUCCAACAUUUUAUUUCUUCGUGCCCAGACCAGUAAACAACCCAUGGCAGUUCUAACACUACUAAAUUAACUAAAUGACAAAGUGAAGAAAUCAUGGUGGAUUGAUACUUUCGUCUUAUAAAGCUUUCUUUUUAGCUUAUCCAGAACCGUAUAGUCUGUCUAACUAUAUAUGAGAUCUCUGGUUUUCAGAACUGUCAUUCUGUAACGUUGGCUCCCACAUAUUUUUGGCUUGGUUUGUGCACAGCCAAGAAAAACUUCUCACAUAAAAAUUUAGCCCAAAAAGAUAGCAGUAAACUAAUGCAGAUAUGUCGUGAACAUUUUCUAAUUUCCUAAUUGUUUUUUGAAUUUGUGAAUAAAAUCUGAAAACGGGGACAAUUUUUUAAAUUCUGAACAGUUUUUGAAAAGCAAAACAUUUUUUGAAAUUGCCAAAGAAAUCAGAAAUGCAAUUAUGUUUUAGUUUGCGAACAAAAUUUGAAAACAGAAACAUUUUCUGAAAAUUUCAAACAUUUGUUAACAUUUUAAACGAUAUUGGAAUGCCAAACAUUUUUGAAGAAAUAUAAAAGAAACUUGAAAAGGAAAAGAAGUAAGAAAAACAAAAAACCAAAAACCCACAAAAACCAGGUACAAUAAAAAAAAACGUUUUAGGAACCUUCUAGAAGGUUCUCAAAACCGCUCAGGAACCUUUCCUAAACCGGGAUCAGUCGAACACUUUACGGGCCGGCCUAGAACGGUCGCUCUGUGCUCUGUGCUCGGUCUCGUCGCUUGCGGCGGUCCAGUUCAUCAGCUCAAAAAGCAUCCUUGUAUGCGAAGGUGCUCCCUCAGAUCUAGGAAUGGUGGAUGCUCUCCUUUUUCUCUGGCGUUGCCUUGGCGAUGGCAAAGAAGAAUGGUGGACAACGAUUUACAAGGCGCAAGGUUCUCUCCAUGUGAAAUUGUAGUUUUACUGGUUACAGGAACAUUGAUGCAAAAAUGUAAGACACCUAUGUAUGUCUCAUGUAAUGACUGUGUAUGUACUCACUGUAAUAUGUUUCUCUAAUGGAAUAUACGAUGGUUAUUUUAAAAAAAGCGUCGAUAAAUCGACGCAAAGAGCGGCGAAUACGAAAUUUCGUAUAUCAUGGGGAUGCCUUUACGUUUCCGUGGCACUUCAUGGGUAGUGGGCCAGCCCAAGUACGCAAGUGAAAAGGCCACUACAACUUGUAAAUGCAAAUGAUCCAUCUCUCUCUACAAAGAAGGAAAGAAAAAUCCCAAUCAAUUGUGGAAAUAAUCACAACUUGCCCAAUAAAAAAGUUCUGUGAUACUGGAAUAAUAUGUACUCGCCAAAAUAAUAUAAGAAUUUACAUAUGCACGUCGAUGCUAUUUCCUUGCUUCUACUUGUUUUCAGUAUCUUUUAGAACAUAAAGUUUUUUUUUCCUUUUCAGUGCCUAAUUCUUCCAUAUAUUUGCAAAAGGAAGCAAAACAUAGCAGCAACGUACAUAAACAUGCCGCAUCCUAUAUCUAUAUAAAAUAAAAUGUAAGAUGACUAAGAAUUACACACAAGGUGUGGCCGCUCUUCCUAUUUUCACACGUUUUUUUUUUUGCUAGCCUUUCUAUUUUUCACAUGUCAUUUGCACUGCCCUAAAUUCAUGCACACACAAACAAAAGAGUUGCACUGUCCCUGUUUUCUUGCGAGUACCAGUUAUUACACUACCCUACAAGUUGCUCAAAAGAAAUUAUUACACUACUGUACAAAAGCAGGUAGUCACUUAACACUACCCUACAAAAAUAUGUUCGCUUAGCCCGUAAGCAAGAAAGAUAUAACAAGUAUAUAACAAGUCCCCCUCCCCCCUCUACAUUCAUCCAUCGUAAAAUCAGUUUGAAGGGCGCGAACAUUUUCUAAUUUCCUGAUUUUUUUUUGAAUUUGUGAAGAAAAUCUGAAAAUGGGGAGAAUUUUUGAAAUUCUAAACAGUUUUUGAAAAGCAAGGACAUUUUUUGAAAUUGCCAAACAUUUUCAGAAAUGCAUUUUCUUAAUUUGCAAACAAAAUUUGAAAACAGAAACAUUUUUUGAAAUUUUCAAACAUUUUUCAGAAAUGCAUUUUCUUAAUUUGCAAACAAAAUUUGAAAACAGAAACAUUUUUUGAAAUUUUCAAACAUUCAUUAAAAUUUUAAAAAAUAUUGGAAUGCCAAAUAUUUUUAAAAUAAAUAAGAAACUUGAAAAGUAAAAGAAGUAAAAAAAUAAAAAAGAAACAGACAAGAAAACAGAAAAACCCAUAAAAACCAGGCAAAACCGGCCAGGAACCUUUCCUAAACCGGGAUCGGUCGAACACUUUACGACCGGCCCGGAACGCUCUUUCUCUACUCAUGAAGCAUCGGUAAAUCGACGCAAAGAGCGGCGAAUAGGAAAUUGCGUAUAUUUCAUCUAAAAAAAGGAAAUUUCGUAUAUCAUGGGGAUGCCUUUUAGUUUUAGGUUUCUGUGGCACUUCAUUGGUAGUGGGCCGGCCCAAGUACGUAAGUGAAAAGGCCACUACAGCUUUUAAAUGCAAAUGAUGCAUCUCUCUGUAAAGAAAAUGAAAGAAAAACACAAGAAAAAUCCCAAUCAAUUGUAGAAAUAAUCACAACUUGCCCAAUAAAAAAAAUUACUGUGAUCAUUGUCAAAAAUGUGUAUUCGAAAUAAUCUGUGCUCACCAAAAUAAUAAGAAUGUACAUAUGUACGUCGAUGCUAUUUCCUUGCCUCUACUUGUUUUCAGUAUCUUCUAGAAAUUAAAGCAUCUUCUUUUUCAGUACCUAAUUCUUCCAUAUAUUUGCAAAUGGAAGCAAAAUAUAGCAGCAUUGUACAUAAACAUGAAGCAUCCUAUAUCUAUAUAAAAUAAAAUGUAAGAUGACUAAGAAUUGCACACAAGGUGUGGCCGCUCUUCCUAUUUUCACACGGUUUUUUUUGCCAGCCUUUCUAUUUUCACAUGUCAUUUGCACUGCCCUAAAUUCACGCACACACAAACAAAAUAGUUGCACUGUCCCUAUUUUCUUGCGGGUACUCAGUUAUUACACUAUCCUACAAGUUGCUCAAAAAAAGUUAUUACACUACCCUACAAAAGCAGGUAGUCACUUAACACUACCCUACAAAAAUACGUUCGCUUAGCCUGGAAGCAAGGAAGAUAUAUGCAUGCCACUGCAAGUAUAUAACAAGCCCCCCUCCCCCCCUCUACAUUCAUCCAUCGUAAAAUCCAGUUUGAAGGCCUUAAUCUUUCAUACAACCCUCUCAGUUUUCCACAAGAAACUAAAUGGAUCGGUCCAUGAAGGUCUUUGUGGUCGUCUUCCUGCUCCUUGUGGCUACAGGUGCGUAUCCCGUACUUACUACUCCCUCUGUCCGAAAAAGCUUGUCCCUCAAAUGGAUGUCUCUUAAAUGGAUGUAUCUAGCAUCAAGUUAGUGCUAGAUAAAUUCAUUCGAGGGACAAGCUUUUUCGGACAGAGGGAGUAUUUAAGAUAACUGACAAUACUGCUAUAAUUAUGUACUACUGUAUGUGAGAUGGCUGAUUUCCUCCUAUGAAUUUGGCCGUGUAGGGUUCCAGGGAGCAGUGCAGGUAGUUUUGGCGAGGGAGUGUAGGUCAGAGAGCAAAAAAUUUGUGGGGCUGUGCGUGAGCGACACCAACUGUGCAAGCGUUUGCCUGACCGAGCGUUUCCCCGGAGGCAAGUGCGACGGCUAUCGGCGAUGUUUCUGCACAAAGGACUGCUAGAUGGCCCCGUUUUCUUCUUGCAUACAUGCUUCCGUGUAAUAAUAACUGAAUAAUACUAGAUCUGCAUCUAUAUCUAUGCAAUGUACGGUGCAUAUGUGAGUGCUACCUUUAGGAAGUACUCCCUCCGUUCCGAUUUACUCGUUGUGGUUUUAGUUCAAAUUUAAACUAAAAUCACGACGAGUAAAACGGAAUGGAGGGAGUACAUGAACAUCAUACAAUCCGAACAAAGUUUCAGCGGGGAACCAGUUCAAGUUGAAUAAUCCAACACUCCGGAAUUCGAGCUCCUACUGUUUUCAGGGUUGAAACGAAUAUAAGCUUAAACUUGCAGGGUUAACUUCAGCAGAAUUGCUUCUAAUUCUGCAAAAAUAUUGAGGAUAAAAGAGAUUUAAGAAUCUAAUCUACCAAUUUACAUAUUUUAGACCGAUAUAUUUGUGUUGAGCUACAGGACAUAUCCCAGAUCCGCUGUUGAGCUUCACAUGCCUCAGUCACAGGUCAAAAUAUGCGAGGAUGGACGACAGAAACAAGGUGUCAAUUUUACAGCUCAGUUCAAUAAUUUGGGCUAAAUCUGUGGCUUCGUGGGAUUAAUAUCAAAAUAUGUACUCCCUCUGUUCUCUUUUGUAAGACGUUUUAGACAGCUGUCUAUCUAAAACGUCUUACAAAAGUAAACAGAGGGAGUAGUUUUCCUCGGAAGUUUUGCUACCAGAAUGUAUACAGUUUUCUGAACGAAUAAGGUUUCACCAUGUAGGGUCUGAAAUAAGAGAGACGUAGCCUAAACAUCCAAGCUGUAGCUUGCUGUAUGCAAGGCCUAACAUCCAGCAUUUUAUUUCUUCAUGCCCCAACCAGUAAACAACCCAUGGCAGUUCUAACCCUAUUAAAUUAAUUAACUAAAGCUUUCUGUCUAGCUUAUCCAAAAUCAUAUAGUCUGUCUAACUAUAUAUGAGAUCUCUGAUUUUCAGAACUGUCAUUCUAUAACGGAGGCUCACACGUAUUUUCAGCUUCGUUUGUGCACAGCAAAGGAAAACUUCUCAAAAAUAAAUUUAGACCAAAAAGAUAGCAGCAAAUUAAUCCAGAUAUGUAUUUAUCCAAAAACUUGCUAGUUUCAACUAACUUCCAGAAUAAUGGAAAUGAACAAUGUACUGGAACUAAAUUAGCCAAGCAAAUUAUUUCAAGCAAAUAACACAAAAAUAUAUACAUAUGCAUCUGGUUGUGAAGAAUCUAAGAAACAAAUAGGUAAAUCCACUAUGAAAUUUUAUUCAACAAUCCAUACCUAGCUACAGAUGGAAAGUUGGCGUGUAAAGCAUAGUUCUUCAUCAGUUAGUAAUGCUGUAACUGAUAACUCAUAGCAAAACUGUAAAACAUUGCAGGAAUGAACACUGGAUAUGACAAACCUUAGAACACUUCUUUCUUACUACAACUUUCUACAACAAGUGUCAGCACUUCCUCUUUACCUAUGCUGUUCCACAGAACAGCUCUGUUGGCAUUUUCAACAACAGCUAGAAGAGUAAGUAUCAGCAAGGCCUGGAACACUAUCAUCAUAGGGAUGCACAAAAUCGUGUGGAGUAUGCCAAUCGAAAUAAUAAGUAAUAUACAGUACUGUAUUAUGGAAGCUGUUGAUACACAUUACAGAGCAUGUUUGUAAUGCAGAAUUCCACAAGAGUAACAAUAAUAAGUUUAUUUCCUAAAGGAACAGGAAGAUUCUAACGUCCCAACUGAGACCUAAAAGACGCUGAUAGUUGUCUGAUCUUAGUACAAAACACAGACUGAACAAGCCAGGUUCAGAAACUUGUGUAUUAGCAUGACAUGAUGAAGAACCAAUUCAUGACUGUGCCAUGCUUUCUUCUCUACUGGAUGACGACCAAAACAUAUUCGAAUUCAGAAAAUAUUAGCAACUACAAAACUGCAAGUGACAUACUAUAGUGGACACCCAACAUCCAGUUAGAGUGUUAGUAAACAACACAGAAACAGGACUUGCCAGCUUGCUGUGCAGACUCCAGAGUGAAAACUUCAUUGUGAAAAAAAAAACAGUUAAAUACUAUUCAAGCCUGUUCUUGGUUCUUGCAAUCUGAAUCUAGUGGGCACUUCCCCUUUGAGAGUAGCAGCAUAGUCUUCAGCAAGGCGAGGCGCAGCUUCCUUGUGAGGACGUAUGAACUUGUCCACGAAUACCUUCUCACUCACCUGGGCUGCGGUGUAGAAGCUUCGGUUAGGCUUUAGCAAUCCAUUUUCUUUAAGGAACUUCACAACAUAGUACCGAGGUUUGAGCCGGGCCUCUAAGCUAUAAGUGAGCAUUGCCGGCCUGUGAGCAAUGUACUCCGGCUCUAACCCAACCUCGGACAUCAAGAAUUCCGACAUGCGCAACAGCCUCUCCUGGGAGUUCCUCAGCACCACAGGAAGCUUGGCAACAGCAAUGGCCACCUCAGCUUCCGACCACCUGAAAGUCUUCUUCAGGAACUCCACCUUAGCAGCAAUCUUCUCCUCGCUGAGGAAUGCGACAGCCAACAGCGCGUGCCUGAACAUCGCAGAGCCACGGGGCACACCGACAUCUUCGGCACGCGCCACCAUGGCCUGGAUGCGCUCUGGCUUGCUGGUGAGCAACCUCGGCACAGGGAUGCAUAGCUUGGCAAUAUCACAGUCACCUAGCCCGCACUCCCGGAGGAGCGCGACGUUGGGCUUGACAACGUUCUCCAGGUCGGAGCUGAGGAGGUAGGAGUUGUACUUGAGCGCCUGGAGGAGGUUCUCGAAGGAGCCGAAGAGGGGGACGUAGUACUGCAGCUUGGAGAUGAUGGUGGGGCGGCGGAAGCGGGCGGGGUCGACCAGGACGAGGCGGGCGAUCUGGGACGGGGAGAGCCCGAGGUCCCGGAGCUCGGUGAGGCGCGGGACGAGGGUCUUGUCGACCUCGGAGCAGAGGAGGAGAGGGUCGUACACGACGACGGCGGCGACGUCGGCGUCGGAGAGGCCGAGGUCGGAGAGGAAGGCGAGGACGGCCUCGGGCUUGGAGGGGGACUUGAGGCGGGAGAGGACCUUGGAGGCCUUGACGGCCUGCGCCGGGGUGAGGUGGCAAGACGCGACGAGGUAGUCCGCCACGGCGAACGGGGCAGGGCUAGCCGACGCCGCCACGGCGGCGGCGGUGGCGGCGAAUCGGGUGUUGGAGAAGAGGCAUCGGUGGCGGAACGCGAGUAGGGCACUUGUGGCGCGGGCACGGAGAGAGAGGAGGAGGACGUGUUUCUGGAGGAGAAGCAUGGCUGGCGGCGGCGGCCGAGGCGACAGCGGGGGGAGGGCGCGGCGGCGGCGAGAGUCGGACAGGGAGAGCGAAGAGAUAGCGGCUAUCGUCACGCCAAAUGUUAUCUUUCCAAUUUUUAUGAGCAACGGUAAUUCCGCGAGCGCCAGUUUUCUGGCGGUUGUAGGCGAGGAAAAGAUACAAAUCAAACGUCAAAUUUUCUUACGUGACAAAUCGAACGGUGUAAAUUAUAUUGUCAUGAGGAUGUCAAUUUUUGCGGUGAAAAGUUAUUGCAUAGAAUUGUCUUGUUUGCUAAAUGAAUGGGACACACUCCCACCAAGCAGUUUGAUCAGAAAUGAAGCACCAGACCUAUCGAAAGCCGUCGAUCCUAGCAGAAUCUCAAGGUCACAUAAUCUAAUCAUGUCACCUCUUUUCAACAAAAAAAAAAAGAAUAAGGAAGCAAAUUGUUCAGAAACUACUAAUUUUUCCUUCUAAUCACUUCCCUGUCGCCUCUUUCCUUGCGGCGUUCCCCAAACCAAGCUCACCAUCCACCCACACCACUCCCCAUCUUCGGAUUGGACUCCAGCCAACAAAGCAGUUCCUCCCCAUGCCUCCCCACCACACUACCCAGUUCCGCGACGACGCUCCUCCCUGAUCCAUCGUCCUUUUGCUCCGAUGCGGAGCGGAUCUGGUAGAUGUCAAUCGUUCGGACUUGGUAAAGGUUGUCGCAACACCUGUAGUAGGACAGAGGACUUAUCGCGAUGCCCGCGGAUCAAUUUGAUAUGUCUCUAUCGCUGACGUCGGUCAAAGAUGCCACGUGGAUUGGCAUGGGUCUUCCUCGGCUAAUGAGACCUCGACCCCGAAGUCUUCAGAGUAUCUUUUUGAUAGGCACACUUUCUCUUUUUUUCGAUUUUCUCUGACUUGACUCGGCUUGACCUACUCGACUCAACGGUUAGAGUAUCGCUUUCGUACAACGAGAGUCAUUGGUUCAAAUCCAAUCGUAGGUAAAAUCAGCCGAAACCCCCGCUUUUGCCAGCAUGAUAGCAAGCACAGACUGGCAUCAAGGAGUAGAAUGACCAAAGCAUCAGUUGCUUCCACUUGUUUGUUGCCUUCUGGGGCCGACAGACAAGGUACCCCCUGUAUUCGUGCCAAGGUAUUGAGGGGGAUAGAGAGGGUUAUUUUUGUGAUUGGGUCUUUUAGUUGCUUUGCUACUAGAGGUCUAGGUGGUCAGGGGUUUAAAGGCCUAGAAUAGGUGUGAGUGGUAGAUAGGCCGCCUUCACGAUCUUCUACCUUCUAUCUUUAUCCAAAGUCAGGUAGGGUGGAUCGCUUGAGUUGCUUAACCGCCCCUUUACCCGGUGCUCAUGAUGCGCUACGGAACCUCCGCCAUUCUAGCGGUCAAGUUAUAUAAGAUUUGGUUGGAAUUUGAAGAUGGAGAUAUUACCGACCAUGACGUAGAGGUCGAAUUUGAUGAGAGCAUAGGAGGUCCAGCAGACGCCGUUGAGGAAACUCACCAGUGACAGACUUACACCCUACCUGCCUACUCGGAUUACUGAAGGAGCCUAUUUGAAAUUCAAUACCGGCCUUUUUCAAGGAUACGAAUCGAAAGGCGGGGCGACACUACAUGUGCUCCAUUGCGGCCUUAGGGGGCGCAACCCCCCAUCUCCAUCUCGGUUGGUGUCAGGACCCCGACUCAAUGCCACAUCGAUCUAGCAUGUAACACCUCAUAUCACUUUGUGGCCUCACGCACGGUAUUCCCACGGGUGUCGCCUUACCUUAGCCCGGGACCGUUUGCGCCUUUUGGCACACGUAUAUGACAGUGUCGCUAGCAUCCAUAUGAUAAGGAGCCCGGGGCUGACAUGGCUAGUCGUAAACCCAAAGUGGCACAGACUUACAGGGACAGGCAUCCAUGACCCAGCAUCGAACGUGUCGGUCAUCAGCGAGUGAAUCCAGGCUGUAGCACUGGGCUAGCAGGACUCCGGUGAACCGGGCUGUAGCGGGCUAACAGGACUCCGGUAUUCAUCGCGUGACAUUUCCCCGAAGGGACAGACACAGGAACGAAGAAGGACACAUGCCGGCCAGCCUAAGUGUUCCGGAGUAGUAGCAAGCUACCAUGGCUCGGUGGAAACACUAGGAGACAUUUCCCGAUAAGAGAGGCUACUAAAGAUAAACAACUAGAUAGUCAGAUCCCACACAUACCAAGCAUUUCAAUAACAUACACACAAUAUGCUCGAUAUGUGCAAACACAACAUGGCAUCACAACAUGACUCUACGACUCAGGUAAUUUAUUCAAUAGGCUCCGAGGAGCGAGAUAUUACAAACAUGGGUCUCAUGACCCAACAAUCAGAGCAUACAAGUCAAAGCACAAGCGGAAGCUAUCAUGUCUGGGUACAGACAUCUAUAACUGAAAAAGGCUGAGAAGUCUGACUAUCUACUAGAUCCUGCCGAGGGCACAAGAUCGUAGCUGAGGUAACAAGCUAAACGUCGAAGUCCACGCGGUACUACUAGCGAGACCGAAAUCUCUCUGCAAAACAUAAAAUAGGCAAACGUGAGUACAAAUGUACCCAGCAAGACUUACAUCAGAACUAACUACAUAUGCAUCAUUAUCAACAAAGAGGAUGGUGGGGUUUAACUGCAGCAAGCCAGCUUUGACUCGGUGGCUAUCCUAAACUACGACUGCAAGCGACUCUUUUGAGGUGGCGCACACGAGUCCACAUAUUCACCAUAUCAAUACACCACUAUGGAUCCGCUCCCGUCUCCCUACGAGAACGCCAUCCAUAGCACUCACGCUUAUCUUGCGCAUUUUAAAGUAUCCACUUUCACUUGUCUAUGAACUGAUAUAAGCAACCCAGAAGUCCUUUUCCGUGGACACGGCUAUUCGAAUAGAUGAUGUUAACCCUGCAGGGGUGUACUUCUUCAUACAUGUUUCCACCACUUAGCGUCUGCACACGACAUGUGCUCGGCAGACUUCAAGCGAAAGCCGACGUGGGUGUAGACCACGACCUACCUAAACACUCAAGUCUCUAGUCCAGGUUUAUCGCCUAUUCGGGUUCCAUCCAUGAGGAGAUCCGGCCGGAGUUUCGCUCACAGCCCCAAACGAUGUGAACAGGGUUCCCGAGAUACCAAACGGGCAUCCGGUACACCCGGCCACGUGCCUACCGCAUCACAGCCCACCCCUACGGUCAGCGCUGUCCACGGCCUCCAGCAUACUACAAACACCAGAAACUACUUGCAACUCCUGGACAGAGGACUAGGGUGAAUAAGAAGUCGAGCGGGGUCAUAUUUCAGGGCCCAAUGCAUGGUAGUAGCUGAAUCAUGGAUCACAAACACAGAACUCAGUUCCUAAGGACGGCUUCAAUGAGACAACCCACCAUGUACUCCUACAUGGCCUCUCACCGACACCUUUUACCAAAUCGUGUUCACACACUUAGCUCACACAUAGUAGGACAUGUUCACACACCUCUGAUUCAUCCUCGAUGAAUCAGACCUGACUCAACUCUAAGCAGUAGCAGGCAUGACAAACAAGCAUGAAUGAGUAGGCACAUCAGGGCUCAAACAACUCCUACUCAUGCUAGUGGGUUUCAUCUAUUUACUAUGGCAAUGACAGGUCAUGCAAAGGAUAAAGGGGGUUCAGCUACCGCAGCAAGUAACAGAUGAAUCGGUGUUGUCCUAAUGCAGUAAAAGAGAGCAGGAGCGAGAGAGUAGGAUUGUAUCAGAAUGAACAAGGGGGUUUUGCUUGCCUGGCACUUCUGAAGAUAGCAUUGAGUCUUCAUCAGUGUCAACGAUCACAUCAUCGGUAUCACGUCUAUCGAGAGGGGACAAUUACCGGCAACAUAGAAGGGAACACAAUCAAUGCAAUGCAAGUUAUGAUGCAUGAUCAUGACAUGGCAAAAUGAAUGUGUUUUGAGCUAAUGCAACUAGCAACAGAUUAAAUGAAGUUGGUUUGAAUACAAGAUUCAAAUUUAAACUCCAUAUGUGAUUAUUCAAAUGCCAUUUAAUUGAUUUGUGCUAAACAGCAGCUAUAAGUUGUUCUAUCAUGCAUGAAAAUGGUACAGAUGGAUUCCUUGAAUUUUUCUGAUAAUUUUUCAUAUAUAAAUUAUUUAAUUUGGAGUUACGGUUGAAUUUCUAUGAUUUUUAGAAGUUUUAGCUAUUUUCUGGAAUUUCCUGAAUAUAAUAAAAUAAACUAAAUUCCAGAAAAUGAAUAUUGCGUCAGCAUGACCUCACCCUGACGUCAUCAGGUCAACAGGGCGGGUCCAGGUCAAACCUGACGUGUGGGGACCACACGUCAGUGACACAGUUAACUAACCUAAGUUUAAUUAGAGCCUGGGCCCGCAUGUGAGUGUCCUAUCUACUUAACUAAGUUAGUUAACACUAACUUAACCUGGUACUAAUUAAACAGGGGGGCUGGGCCCACACGUCAGUCAGAGAGAGGGGAGGGUCAAACCGGGCAGUGGGUCAACCCACGCCGGUCAAGGGUCAACGGUCGCCGGCGUUUAGCCGCCGGCGAGUCCCGACGCGGUGGUGCGCUGCGGAAAUGGCCUACAGAGCGCCGUUUGGCGCGCGGAGCACGACUACGGGAUGCGGACGCUCGUCUGCAUCUAACCAGGGUGGUGGCGCGGCCGGGGAGUGGCCGGAGAGUGGUCGGCGACGAGCUUUAGCGGCGGCCGGAGUUUGGUGUCAGUGAGGACGACGCUGCGGUGCACGGGGGAAGGAGCAGGUGUGUGCGUUCGGCUCCUGAGAGCACGGUUAGCAGGCGGGUGCUACUAGGGCGAGCGGAGGAGCUCGGGAGCACGGGGCUCACUGGCCAUGGCGAUGGGCGGAGCUCGGUUUCGUGGGGCGGCGGCUAACGGACGAGAACGGAGGGGGUGAGCAAGGGGGAAGGCGCAGGAGCUCACAGCGAGUUCGAGGGGGCAGUCAGCAGGCUCGGGGACGUCCGGGGUGCGGCAAAUCGACGACGGCGAUCAUCGGACAGGGACGAGGAAGAUGGCGACGAUGGCGGCUCCAUAGGGCCUCUGCGUUGGCUUUCCUCAAUGGAGAGGCGUGGUGCAAGGUGGCGGAGGUGCUGGACUGAUCGGGGAGGCAAGGCAUCGGCGGUGGGCACGGCGAACGGCGUCGGUGGCGACGGGGCUCCGCUCGGUGGAGGAGAGAGGGAGCCAGAGAAAGGGGGGAGAAGGCACGGGGAGAGUGCGAGGCCUGGGAGGGUGCGUGGCGUCGCGGACGAGGUCCAGGGCGACGAGAGGAAGCAGGAGGUGGCCAGGGGGAAGCAGGAGGUGGCCGAGGCCUCUCGGGCGCGCGCCACGCCUCGCCUCUGUUCGUCCUCCUGGCAGAGGAGGAAGAUGACAAGGGGGAGGAGGUGGGCUGGGCCGGCUGGGCCGGUUGGUGGGCGCCAGGUGGGCUGCAGGUGAGUUAGGUAGGCUUCUGCUCUUUUUAUUUUUUUUCUUCUGUUUUGUUUUAUUUAACUUAUUUUGCCACUGUUUUGAAUUUAAAAUAAUUCAAACAAUGCCAAAAACUCCUCUGAAUAUUUUAUAUUGCUAGAUGGACUUUUCCAAAAGCUUAUAAAAUAUUUCCGGGGGUAUUUGAAAUUAUAUUCUAAUUAUAUGAAUAUAAUUCAAAUUCAAAUAGCUAAUGAAUUAAAUCCAAAGUCCCAAAAAUAAUUCCUUAAAAAUGUUCAAUAUUUUGGUUGGGACCAGAACCCUUACCAAAAAUUAUCAAACAUUUAAAAGGGCAUUUUUGGAGCAAUGAAUGAGAUUUUUAGGGUUUUUGCCCCUCUUUUAUUUAAGUUUUUGAGGCUUCCAAAAUUCCUCAGUUCAAGUUUCGAAAAUAUAGACAUGAUGCACACAUGAAGCUAGCCUAGAGCACUACCAGCAGCUAGGGAUGUGACAGUUGGGCCCUGGGUUGCCAUCUAUCUUCCCAUCCCCCGACGGAAGACCAGGAUUUGUCCAUUGUUUUCCUCCCUCUUCAAAGUGCCUCUCAUCAGAAUCAAAGGGUAUUGUACUUUGACAAUCCACCCAACCCCUUCCCCAAGCGUGUGAUUAGCAUAUGUGCCUACUUAUGAUCACAGCCAUACUCGAUGUUUUGUAAUGUCAAUUUUUGCAUUUAGGCUUGUAAUGCCUACUCUGCCUAGUACUAAUUGGUUCAUGUGUUCAUUGUGUGCAUGUUAGUGUUCUGCUCUUCAUGUACUAUGUCAGACAAGAAUUAGAAAAUAAUAAUUUUUGGGAUAGCAAACAUUAUGGUGCUUCCUACUCCAUAGAUAUGCAUCCCCAUUUGACGGCAAUAUUUGUAUUCAUUUCAUUUUCUUCCGAGCUUCCAGGUAAGACUAAUGAUGCACCAAGUUCCCAUUUUCAUGCUUAUGAUUAGCUUGCAUUCACAGUAUGCUUCCAAGUAACAGUACUGAUGUACCCAGCACACUGUCUCAUGCCUCGUAUUAAUCGCGCUUCCAUAUUAUAUUCCUUUUGUUUCAUUUUGCUUCUUAUUACUGUGCGUCCAGAUUCUGCUUCCAAGUAUUAGUACAUAUGUACCCAGUACACUUUUUAUGCUUCUUUCGCAUCAUACUUCCACAUUAAAUUCCUUUUGUUUCAUACAACUAAAAGUUUACUUUCACUCAAAACACUUUAUUAAGGUUUGCUAACAAAGUAAAUUUCUUAUGUUCUUAGUUGACUCACUAAAAGUUUACUUUCACUCAAAACACUUUAUUAAGGUUUGCUAACAAAGUAAAUUUCUUAUGUUCUCAGUUGACUCACUAAAAGUUUACUUUCACUCAAAACAUUUUAUUAAGGUUUGCUAACAAAGUAAAUUUCUUAUGUUCUCAGUUGACCCGCGACAAUGAAAGAGGAUGAACCCCAAUGGAUGCUCAAGAGCAUAUAUGCGGCUGGAAGGUUACAUGAUCUCCAUCAGGAAAAACAUGAUACUCGAUCUCGCGGGUUAGGUGUGCCAUUUUUGUUGCGUCGGGAGAGAAGCAUCCGACCAGGAAGCACUGUUUGGAAGGGUGUGUAGAGAGAGAAGAGAUUGUACCUCACGAGAUCAAAUUCUUAUAUGGAAAGCAUUUAAUCAUGGUGCCAUAGAAGGGCUCAUUUAAGAUUAAGAAGCAGAUCUGACGUCCAUUUGGUUUCCAAUCGAACGGCCAAACACUGGUAUGAUAGGAUGCAAAGCAUCAGCGCUAGUGGUUCCCAAAUAGAAUUGAGAUAAGGAUCAAAGCAAAGCAUUAGCCGUCCGAUGGCUAGUGGUUCCCAAAUAGAAUUGAGAUAGGGAUCAAGAGAUUGCAACAGACGUUUCCUAGCGAAAAUGUUGUAUAGGACCAUGGUUCACCCGAAUCUAACGCUCAGUGCCACACAUCAGAAGACAGCAUUUUUCGAGAUUUAUGCAUGGCAGGUGUGCUAAACCAUGGCGGGAACGAUCAACAGACAUGCUGAGAAGGAUUCCGCGUUAAUAAACCUACCGGCCGCUACCAUCAACUGAAUAAAAUAGUGGACUGGCCUCGGAAGAAACAAACGUUGUCUCCCAUAUACUCUCCUGUUCACAAUUGUUUAAGCCUGGCCAUACCUCGGGCCGACCCGGUCUUUGGGCCGGGCCUAGCCAAGCCCGACGCAAAAAACCCAGGCCUGAGCCCGGCCCGGCCUGGCCAUCGGGCCUGUUUUCUUGGCCCGAGCACAACCCGAACACGUAAAAGCCUGCCAGGCUCCGGGCCGGUCCGGCCCGACCUUCAGAAAGUGCAAAAACGACGGGCUCGGGCCCGGCCCGGCCAUCGGGCCCAAAAUCUAGGCCCGAGCCCGGUCCGGGAGAUCGUCGGGCCGGGCCGGGCUUCCCAUGGCCAUGUAUAUAUGCUGGUCAGCUGUGUCAUGCAUGCCUGAUCAAAACGAGGGAUUCAUACAUGCGCCUUGGGAGAAGGAACAGCAUAAUAAAAAUAUAGAGAAGAACGAAAGCUCGCACAAGGAUUCAAUCUUUGGGGCUGUUUGGUUCUAGGCCUAGUAUUGCCACACUUUCUCAUACAUUUUUGUCAAUCUUGCCUAAGCUUAGUUUAUCAAAAUGAGAGCCAUAAGUUGGCAAGCCUAAAAGCAUCUCCAAUAGUUUGUAUGUUAUUCUUGUUGGUAAAAUGUUCAUGUCAUCAAUCAUAAGUUAUCAUACAACUACUUCAAUGGAUUGUAUUUAAAUUAUCCAAUAGAAUGUGAGGAAAUAAAUGUGGUUGCUCUUUAUUUUACCUUAGAGUUUAUGCAAAAGUUGUUGGUUAAUCUACAUACAACUUUGAUCUCUUUACGCAUUUAUUUCAUGUCACAUCAUCACUAUGUUUUAGGUGGCAAAUUUAGCAACACCUAUCUUACAACUGUUGGAGAUGCCCUAAGAGAAUCUUGCCACACUUUGUGUGUGUAUACCAUGUGGGGCUCAAAUGUGGCCUGCCUAAGGUAUGGCUUGAACCAAACACUUACCUAAGUCAGUCAAACUUGCCUAUGGCAACCUUUAACAAAGUUAGUCACAAACCAAACAGUCCCUUUGUACCAUCCAUGGUCCAUUGUAAAUAAUUUUGUACAGAUAUAUUGAAGACUAAUAACUCUAACUACAAGAAACUGAAAAAAAUAUCAUUUUCUGUACAUGAUUCAGAACAAAAAAUAUAAAAUGUUUUUAGAACUAUUCGAAAACUAAUCAUUUAAUAAAGAAAAAUCAUAGCAGAUCGUGGCUCGUGAACUCAAGUAAAGAUUCCGUGAUGUACUACCGUGGGGUGUUUCGUCAAAAAGAAACUCCACACAUCUCUAACUAGUAAUUCGGACUGUAAGAAACUCAAAAGAUAUUAGCUUUAAUACAGGGUACAGAAAAAAGCAUGUACUUCCUUCAUUCCUAAAUAUUUGUCUUUCUAGAUAUUUUAAAUGGCUACCACAUACGGAUGUAUAUAGACAUAUUUUAGAGUGUAGAUUCACUCAUUUUGCUCUGUAUGUAGUCACUUGUUGAAAUCUCCAGAAAGACAAAUAUUUAGGAACGGAGGGAGUAGUUUAUUUUUGAUAGAAAUAUUUAAAACUUUUCCCUUUUUACUUUAGCCCAAGAAGAACAAUGGCGUUUAAUACAGGAUACAUAACAAAGCAUGUAGUUUAUUUUUUAUAGAAAUAUUUAAAACUUUUUAUUUUUUGCUUUAGCCCAAUUUUCUCUUUCAAGACCUUUAACAAAUGCCAUUUGCACCACCUAUGACGGGUAUGAGGUAUAUUGUACUCCCUCCGUUUCAAAACAUAAGUCUUUCUAGAGAUCACAAUAAGUGACUACAUACGAAGCAAAAUGAGUGAAUCUACACUCUAAAAUAUGUCUACAUACAUCCGUAUGUUGUAGUUCAUUUGAAAUAUCUAAAAAAACUUAUAUUUAAAAACAGAGGGAGUAGUUAGUAAAGCGUUUUGCAUAGCUUUGCGUUGGUCUGUGGGUGUACAAAAGAAAAGUGAUCAAACUAAGGCGAACAUAUGAUAGCAUAUAUAGAACCUGGUAAGCUACAACUAUGUAAUCUCUCCGUCUCAUAAUAUAAGAAUGGUUUUUACAUUAGUGUAAUGUCAAAAACGUUCUUAUAUUAUGAGACAGAGGGAGUACAAGACAACUUUUAUAGUCUAACCUAUCAAUAUAGUAGUAGGAUGCUUCCCGUCCAUCAAGUCAAUAAAAUGAACAGUGCUACAAUGGGCUCCUCAUCCUGUAAUAUGUAGUAGUAGUAAGUAGUUUGGAAGAUGAACAGUGCUACAAUGGAUGAACAGACGAUAGGUUUUCUUAUUUAUUGGGCAUUGGCUCAAGCGCUAAGACUCCACACAUCUCUGACUAUACUCUCUCCGUUCCAAAUUACUUAUCGUGGUUUUAGUUAAUUUAGAACUAAAACCACGACAAGUAAUUUGAAACGGAGGGAGUAAUUCUUGAACAGUAUAAAGAAAAAAAUAGCCCCGCAGGCCUAGGGGUGUACGGUGUGCCAGCCCACCAGUAUAACUAAGGAGAUUAACGCAGGCCUCGGGCUGUUCAAGCCUUAACCGUUUUUUUAAUUCAAAUAGUACACAGAUCCACACGCAGCAGGCUGGACAAUCGUACACAGAUCCCCGUUUCUUAGGCAUUCCUUUACAUUCAGUUGUCCAAAGAACCCAGCUCAGGGCCUCUUUGAUUCGCAGGAUUUAAAAAAUGCAGGAAUAGAAAAAGUACAUGGUUGGAGUGGCAUGUCCAUUUGAACUUUAUAAGAUUAGCAAGAGUGUUUGAUCUCACAAGAAAAACAAAAGAAUCAUAAAAAAAGGGUGGAAUACUACAAAAGAUUUCAUAGGAAAAUAAUCCUAUAAAUCAAAUGAUCAAUAUAGAAAAAAUUCCUAAGGAUUUAAACCCUAUGAAAUUCUUUUGAACAAAAGGAGCCCUCAAUAUUUUCGACAAUCCACUAAAAUGAGGCAUCACAAAUUUUCCUUUGAAUCAAAGGAGCCCUCAAUAUUUUUGUCAAUUCACUAAAAUGGGGCAUCACAACUUUUUGGCUUUGCAAUCACGGUAGCACCAAAGGGGUAGUGGCACCAUCCAUGUGUUGAAAAUAUGAGCAAAUUACUAUGAGAUUUAAUCCGAAUAAACAGAAGAUAAAUCAUGACCACAUCAGCAUAGAUUAAACUAAUCAUGCGAACUAGCAUAGCAGAUGAACAUAUCACAUCUAGGGCACAUACUAGAAGCAUGAAUUCUACCACGAUCUCGAACAGGAAGGAUAGAAUCAUAUACGGUGCAGCGGGUGCAGCACCGCCGGCAUUGACGUUGUCGCCCAUGUCGUCGAGGACGAGGUUGCCGAGGUCGGGGAAGAAGUCGUCGUUCGCGAAGUCGUCGCUGCCAGCAGUCGCGCGAGUGCGCUCCCCAAAAACCUGAUUGCCCCUCUCCCGUACAGGAUCACGAGAGGUGGGGUUCCGGAGGCCUGCUGUCCCUUCUCGCGGUGCACGCCGGAAGGAGGGAUGGAGAAGACUUGCUUGGCGGCGCAAUGAUCUGGAACGGUGGUGAGAAACCAUACGAAGCGGCGGCGGCUAGGAUAGACGUCUGCCUGACUAUAUAGUGCGGACCGGGUAGGUCAUGGGAGUAAACCCCACGUCCGAGUCGUCACGAUCCAAAAGAAUCGGAAACGGUUCAGUAAUUAACGCGUCCGUUAAUUAUUAAUUAAUGACUCAUUAAUUUUCCCAUGCAGCAAAAAUAUAGACAACGUGCAUAGCUCUGUCCUCGGCUCGGCUCAAUCCCGCAACCCACGGCGCGUCUUGACGAGGCAUGGCGUGGCGCGGCGUGGCGUGGCGAGGCGAGGCGAGCGAGGAGGAGGAGCGCGCGUGUAGGUCUCCUCUUUUCAUGCUCAUACAAGUGGUAGAAGAGCUCACCUUAUAAAGAGGCGCAACUCUCUCUCAACUUCCGGGGUGGGACUAAACUUUAGCCUCACUCACUCCACUCACAUGUGUGCAUGAAUGGGCCAAGAGAAUUUCAGAAUUUUAGUUGGGCUUUGGGCCAAAGGCCUACUAGCAAAAUUCCAACAAUCCCCCACAAAGUCUCAUUGGCACAUCUCAUCAUUUAGUUCCAAAACAUUGUUUUAUAUAUCGGUGCUUAGUGGAGACUGUGAAGUUGAACUUCCACUUAGAAAUUUAUGCUACACUAGAUCACAACUUGAAUAGUGGACUAUGCCUUGAACUACAAGUUUUCUAUGAAACUAGUUUCACGCAAAUUAUUGACCGAUACUGGGCUGCCGCAAGGCUUCCCCGCGGGUGAAGCGUAUACGUCAUACUCCAGAGCCUUUCAUGAAUUUAUUAGAGAACACCCAAUUCUCACAGACUGCGACAUUAACAGUCAAAUUCAUAUAGGUGUGUUCCUCAGAAGAUGUUCUGCAGGACAACAUCUCUGCUUACCCGAAUAAGCCACUUGGAACACAUUAAGAUAAGUAUCAACCUGCCAUGCAGAUCAGGAGAGUAUUGCAUCUUCACGGAGUGGGAUAAUUAAUAUAGGGAUACUCUCCUCCCAGCUGACCAAUAGCUUGUCUCCCACUUCUACUUCACGGGAUCUCCGCUCACAUAGAGUGGGUUACCACUAUGGACAACUCAUGCGGUGGGUCUCAAACCCAUCUCCAUCGAUGUAUUAUCUAUCACAUUACGUGAUAGACCCUUUGUGAAGGGAUCUGCCAAGUUUUUCGACGUUUGGAUAUAAUCCAACGUAAUAACUCCGGAGUUCCUCAAUUUUCUGACAGAUUUUAGUCUCCUCUUCACAUGCCUUGAGGACUUCAUAUUGUCCUUAGAACUGUUUAUCUUGACGAUCACAGUUUGAUUAUCGCAGUUCAUCAGGAUAGGGGGUAUUGGUUUUUCAACCUUAGGUAAGUCCAUCAAGAGUUCACGAAGCCACUCUGCUUCAACAGUGGCAGUGUCUAAUGUUGUGAGUUCUGCUUCCAUAGUUGACCUCGUUAAGAUGGUCUGCUUGCAAGACCUCCAGGAAACAGCGCCACCACCAAGUGUAAAAAUAUAACCACUUGUGGCCUUAAUCUCAUCAGCAUCAGAUAUCCAGUUUGAGUCACUAUAACCCUCCAGUACCCUUGGAUACCCGGUGUAGUGAAUCUCUCUCAAACGCAUGCCAAUGAUCAUCUCCCGGUUUUGACACAAACCGACUCAGCUUGCUCACAACAAAAGAGAUGUCAGGCCUCGUGGCACUCACCAAAUACAUAAGCGAGCCAAUAAUCUGAGAAUACCUCAGUUGAUCUCUAGCAAUCCGUCGAUUCUUUCGAAGCAACACACUAGCAUCAUAUGGAGUUGGAGAAGGCGUGCAGUCGCUAUACCCAAAACGACUCAAGACCUUUUCCACAUAAUGAGACUGAAGCAGUGUGAUCCCACCAUUCUCAUCUCUCAACAGCUUGAUGUUUAAGAUAACAUCAGCUACUCCUAGAUCCUUCAUCUCAAAACAGCGAGAUAAGAAAUCCUUAACCUCCUUGAUUAAAUCAAGUUUGGUUCCAAACAUCAAUAUGUCGUCGACAUACAGACAAAGAAUAACUCCUUCGCCCCCACCAUAGCGAUAGUACAUGCACUUGUCACCAUCGUUUACUACAAAGCCGGCAACAGUUAAUGUUCUUUCGAACUUCUCAUGCCACUCCUUAGGAGCUUGUUUAAGGCCAUAUAAAGACUUUAAUAACUUGCACACCUUUCCUUCCUGACCAGGUACUACAAAACCAUCUGGCUGAUCCAUGUAAAUUUCCUCCUUCAACUCUCCAUUGAGGAAAGCCGUCUUAACGUCCAUUUGAUGAAUGAGAAGACCAUGUGAGACAGCCAGUGAUAGUAGCACCCGAAUUGUGGUCAGUCUAGCCAUGGGUGAGUAAGUAUCAAAGAAGUCUUCACCUUCUUUCUGGGUAUAACCCUUGGCCACAAGCUGUGCCUUGUACUUUUCAAUUGUACCAUCAGGUCUAAGCUUCUUCUUGAACACCCACUUACAUCCUACAGGUUUGCACCCAUAAGGACGGUCAGUGAUCUCCCAGGUACCGUUAGCUAAGAUGGAAUCCAUCUCGCUACGUACAGCUUCCUUCCAGUAGUCAGCAUCAGGAGAUGCAUAGGCUUCUGAAAUAGUCCUGGGUGUGUCAUCCACGAGGUACACAAUGAAAUCAUCACCAAAAGACUUUGCAGUCCUCUGUCUCUUACUCCUCACAGGAGUUCCAUUGUUACCCUCAACAGGAUUCUCAACGUGUUCCAUCACAAUGGUGGGUUCAGGAAUUACAGUGAAUUCCUCACUAGAUGGAGUAGGUAUCUCCUGAUUUGAUGAACUCGACAUAUCCUUCAUAGGAAAUAUGUCCUCAAAGAUAGUUGCAUCAUUUGAUUCCAUAAUCGUACCAACAUGCAUGUCGGAUACCUCAGAUUUUAUUAUCAAAAAUCUAUAGCCGAUGCUAUGAAAAGCAUAGCCCUGAAGAACACAAUCCACGGUUUUUGGUCCAAGCUUGCGCUUCUUGGGAAUUGGUAUAUUGACUUUCGCCAAACAACCCCAAGUACGUAGGUAAGAGAGUUUCAACCUUUUCCUUUCCCAUUCCUCAAAAGGAGUCAUGGUCUUAUGCUUUGUGGGAACUCGGUUUAGGACAUGACACGCAGUCAUUAGCGCCUCCCCCACCAUUCAUUGGAUAGACCCGAAGUGUCUAACAUGGUGUUAACCAUAUCAGUUAGAGUUCGGUUCUUUCUUUCGGCUACCCCAUUUGACUGGGGUGAGUAGGGAGGCGUCCUCUCAUGGAUUAUACCAUGUUCCGCACAAAACAGAUCAAAUUCAUUGGAAAAAUACUCUCCACCACGAUCGGACCUAAGCCGUUUAAUUUUUCGAUCAAGUUGGUUCUCUGCCUCAGCUUUAUAGUUUUUAAAGAAAGUCAAAGCCUCAUCUUUUGAUUUCAGAAGAUACACAUAACAAUAUCUAGUGGAGUCAUCAAUCAACGUCAUGAAGUAUCUGAAGGAAAUAUGCCCUAGAGGCAAUAAUAAAGUUAUUAUUUAUUUCCUUAUAUCAUGAUAAAUGUUUAUUAUUCAUGCUAGAAUUGUAUUAACCGGAAACAUAAUACAUGUGUGAAUACAUAGACAAACAGAGUGUCACUAGUAUGCCUCUACUUGACUAGCUCGUUAAUCAAAGAUGGUUAUGUUUCCUAACCAUGAACAAAGAGUUGUUAUUUGAUUAACGGGAUCACAUCAUUAGGUGAAUGAUCUUAUUGACAUGACCCAUUCCAUUAGCUUAGCACCCGAUCGUUUAGUAUGUUGCUAUUGCUUUCUUCAUGACUUAUACAUGUUCAUAUGACUAUGAGAUUAUGCAACUCCCGUUUACCGGAGGAACACUUUGUGUGCUACCAAACGUCACAACGUAACUGGGUGAUUAUAAAGGUGCUCUACAGGUGUCUCCAAAGGUACAUGUUGGGUUGGCGUAUUUCGAGACUAGGAUUUGUCACUCCGAUUGUCGGAGAGGUAUCUUUGGGCCCUCUCGGUAAUGCACAUCACAUAAGCCUUGCAAGCAUUGCAACUAAUGAGUUAGUUGUGAUAUGAUGUAUUACGGAACGAGUAAAGAGACUUGCCGGUAACGAGAUUGAACUAGGUAUUGAGAUACCCACGAUCGAAUCUCGGGCAAGUAACAUACCGAUGACAAAGGGAACAACAUAUGUUGUUAUGCGGUCUGACCGAUAAAAGAUCUUCGUAGAAUAUGUAGGAGCCAAUAUGAGCAUCCAGGUUCCGCUAUUGGUUAUUGACCAGAGACGUGUCUCGGUCAUGUCUACAUUGUUCUCGAACCCGUAGGGUCCGCACGCUUAAGGUUUCGAUGACAGUUAUAUUAUGAGUUUAUGCAUUUUGAUGUACCGAAGUUUGUUCGGAGUCCCGGAUGUGAUCACGGACAUGACGAGGAGUCUCGAAAUGGUCGAGACAUAAAGAUUGAUAUAUUGGAAGCCUAUAUUUGGAUAUCGGAAGUGUUCCGGGUGAAAUCGGGAUUUUACCGGAGUACCGGGAGGUUACCGGAACCCCCCGGGAGGUAUAUGGGCCUUAGUGGGCUUUAGUGGAAGAGAGGAGAGGUGGCCAGGGCUGGGCCGCGCGCCCCUCCCCCCUAGUCCGAAUAGGACAAGGAGAGGGGGGCGGCGGCCCCCCUUCCUUCUCUCUCUCUCCUCUUUCCCCCUCUCGAAUCCUAUUCCAACUAGGAAAGGGGGGGAAUCCUACUCCCGGUGGGAGUAGGACUCCUCCUGGCGCGCCCUCCUCCUGGCCGGCCGCACCCCCCCUUUGAUCCUUUAUAUACGGAGGCAGGGGGCACCCCUAGACACACAAGUUGAUACACGUGAUCAUAUUCUUAGCCGUGUGCGGUGCCCCCUUCCACCAUAGUCCUCGAUAAUAUUGUAGCGGUGCUUAGGCGAAGCCCUGCGACGGUAGUACAUCAAGAUCGUCACCACGCCGUCGUGCUGGCGGAACUCUUCCCCGACACUUUGCUGGAUCGGAGUCCGGGGAUCGUCAUCGAGAUGAACGUGUGCUAGAACUCGGAGGUGCCGUAGUUUCGGUGCUUGAUCGGUCAGGCCGUGAAGACGUACGACUACAUCAACCGCGUUGUGCUAACGCUUCCGUUGUCGGUCUACAAGGGUAUCAACUUGACAAACUACCGUUGUGGUUUUGAUGCGUAGGUAAGAUUGGUUCUUGCUUAAGCCCGUAGCAGCCACGUAAAAACUUGCAACAACAAAGUAGAGGACAUCUAACUUGUUUUUGCAGGGCAUGUUGUGAUGUGAUAUGGUCAAGACAUGAUGCUGAAUUUUAUUGUAUGAGAUGAUCAUGUUUUGUAACCGAGUUAUCGGCAACUGGCAGGAGCCAUAUGGUUGUUGCUUUAUUGAUGCAAUGCAAUCGCGUUGUAAUGCUUUACUUUAUCACUAAGCAGUAGCGAUAGUCAUGGAAGCAUAAGAUUGGCGAGACGACAACGAUGCUACGAUGGAGAUCAAGGUGUCACGCCGGUGACGAUGGUGAUCACGACGGUGCUUCGAAGAUGGAGAUCACAAGCACAAGAUGAUGAUGGCCAUUCAUAUCACUUAUAUUGAUUGCAUGUGAUGUUUAUCUUUUAUGCAUCUUAUCUUGCUUUGAUUGAUGGUAGCAUUAUAAGAUGAUCUCUCACUAAUUAUCAAGAAGUGUUCUCCCUGAGUAUGCACCGUUGCGAAAGUUCUUCAUGCUGAGACACCACGUGAUGAUCGGGUGUGAUAGGCUCUACAUUCAAAUACAACGGGUGCAAAACAGUUGCACACGCGGAAUACUCAAGUUAUACUUGACGAGCCAAGCAUAUACAGAUAUGGCCUCGGAACACGGAGACCGAAGGUCGAGCGUGAAUCAUAUAGUAGAUAUGAUCAACAUAGUUAUGUUCACCAAUGAAACUACUCCAUCUCACGUGAUGAUCGGACAUGGUUUAGUUGAUUUGGAUCACGUAAUCACUUAGAAGAUUAGAGGGAUGUCUGUCUAAGUGGGAGUUCUUAAGUAAUAUGAUUAAUUGAACCUAAAUUUAUCAUGAACUUAGUACCUGAUAGUAUCUUGCUUGUUUAUGUAUGAUUGUAGAUAAAUGGCUCGUGCUGUUGUUCCGUUGAAUUUUGAUGUGCUCCUUGAGAAAGCAAAGUUGAAAGAUGAUGGUAGCAAUUACACGGAUUGGGUCCGUAACUGGAGGAUUAUCCUCAUUGCUGCACAGAAGAAUUACAUUCUGGAAGCACCGCUGGGUGCCAGGCCUGCUGCUGGAGCAACACCAGAUGUUAUGAACGUCUGGCAGAGCAAAGCUGAUGACUACUCGAUAGUUUAGUGUGCCAUGCUUUACGGCUUAGAAUCGAGACUUCAACGACGUUUUGAACGUCAUGGAGCAUAUGAGAUGUUCCAGGAGUUGAAGUUAAUAUUUCAAGCAAAUGUCCGGAUUGAGAGAUAUGAAGUCUCCAAUAAGUUCUAUAGCUGCAAGAUGGAGGAGAACAGUUCUGUCAGUGAGCAUAUACUCAAAAUGUUUGGGUAUAAUAAUCACUUAAUUCAAAUGGGAGUUAAUCUUCCAGAUGAUUGCGUCAUUGACAGAAUUCUCCAAUCAUUGCCACCAAGCUACAAGAGCUUCGUGAUGAACUAUAAUAUGCAAGGGAUGAAUAAGACUAUUCCCGAACUCUUCACAAUGUUGAAAGCUGCGGAGGUAGAAAUCAAGAAGGAGCAUCAAGUGUUGAUGGUCAACAAGACCACUAGUUUCAAGAAAAAGGGCAACGGGAAGAAGAAGGGGAACUUCAAGAAGAACAGCAAGCAAGUUGCUGCUCAAAAGAAGAAACCCAAGUCUGGACCUAAGCCUGAAACUGAGUGCUUCUACUGCAAGCAGACUGGUCACUGGAAGCGGAACUGCCCCAAGUAUUUAGCGGAUACGAAGGAUGGCAAGGUGAACAAAGGUAUAUGUGAUAUACAUGUUAUUGAUGUGUACCUUACUAAUGCUCGCAGUAGCACCUGGGUAUUUGAUACUGGUUCUGUUGCUAAUAUUUGCAACUCGAAACAGGGACUACGGAUUAAGCGAAGAUUGGCUAAGGACGAGGUGACGAUGCGCGUGGGAAAUGGUUCCAAAGUCGAUGUGAUCGCAGUCGGCACGCUACCUCUACAUCUACCUUCGGGAUUAAUAUUAGACCUAAAUAAUUGUUAUUUGGUGCCAUCGUUAAGCAUGAACAUUAUAUCUGGAUCUUGUUUGAUGCGAGGUGGUUAUUCAUUUAAAUCAGAGAAUAAUGGUUGUUCUAUUUACAUGAGUAAUAUCUUUUAUGGUCACACACCCUUGAAGAGUGGUCUAUUCUUAUUAAAUCUCGAUAGUAGUGACACACAUAUUCAUAGUGUUGAAGCCAAAAGAUGCAGAGUUGAUAAUGAUAGUGCAACUUAUUUGUGGCACUGCCGUUUGGGUCAUAUCGGUAUAAAGCGCAUGAAGAAACUCCAUACUGAUGGGCUUUUGGAACCACUUGAUUAUGAAUCACUUGGUACUUGCGAACCGUGCCUUAUGGGUAAGAUGACAAAACACCGUUCUCCGGUACUAUGGAGAGAGCAACAGAUUUGUUGGAAGUCAUACAUACAGAUGUAUGUGGUCCGAUGAAUGUUGAGGCUCGUGGCGGAUAUCGUUAUUUUCUCACCUUCACAGAUGAUUUAAGCAGAUAUGGGUAUAUCUACUUAAUGAAACACAAGUAUGAAACAUUUGAAAGGUUCAAAGAAUUUCAGAGUGAAGUGGAAAAUCAUCGUAACAAGAAAAUAAAGUUUCUACGAUCUGAUCGUGGAGGAGAAUAUUUGAGUUACGAGUUUGGUGUACAUUUGAAACAAUGCGGAAUAGUUUCGCAACUCACGCCACCCGGAACACCACAGCGUAAUGGUGUGUCCGAACGUCGUAAUCGUACUUUACUAGAUAUGGUACGAUCUAUGAUGUCUCUUACUGAUUUACCGCUAUCGUUUUGGGGAUAUGCUCUAGAGACAGCUGCAUUCACGUUAAAUAGGGCACCAUCAAAAUCCAUUGAGACGACGCCUUAUGAACUGUGGUUUGGCAAGAAACCAAAGUUGUCAUUUCUGAAAAUUUGGGGCUGCGAUGCUUAUGUGAAAAAGCUUCAACCUGAUAAGCUCGAACCCAAAUCGAAGAAAUGUGUCUUCAUAGGAUAUCCAAAGGAAACUAUUGGAUACACCUUCUAUCACAGAUCCGAAGGCAAGACUUUUGUUGCUAAAUUCGGAAACUUUCUGGAGAAGGAGUUUCUCUCGAAAGAAGUGAGUGGGAGGAAAGUAGAACUUGACGAGGUAACUGUACCUGCUCCCUUAUUGGAAAGUAGUACAUCACAGAAACCUGUUUCUGUGACAUCUACACCAAUUAGUGAGGAAGAUAAUGAUAAUGAUCAUGAAACUUCAGAACAAGAUACUACUGAACCUCAUAGAUUAAUCAGAGUAAGAUCCGCGCCAGAGUGGUAUGCUAAUCCUGUUCUGGAAGUCAUGCUACUAGAUCAUGAUGAACCUACAAACUAUGAAGAAGCGAUGGUGAGCCCAGAUUCCGCAAAAUGGCUUGAAGCCAUGAAAUCUGAGAUGGGAUCCAUGUAUGAGAACAAAGUGUGGACUUUGGUUGACUUGCCCGAUGAUCGGCAAGCAAUUGAGAAUAAAUAGAUCUUCAAGAAGAAGACUGACACUGACGGUAAUAUUACUGUCUACAAAGCUCGACUUGUCGCAAAAGGUUUUCGGCAAGUUCAAGGGGUUGACUACGAUGAGACCUUCUCACCCGUAGCGAUGCUUAAGUCUGUCCGAAUCAUGUUAGCAAUUGCCGCAUUUUAUGAUUAUGAAAUUUGGCAGAUGGAUGUCAAAACUGCAUUCCUGAAUGGAUUUCUAGAAGAAGAGUUGUAUAUGAUGCAACCAGAAGGUUUUGUCGAUCCAAAGGGAGCUAACAAAGUGUGCAAGCUCCAGCGAUCCAUUUAUGGACUGAUGCAAGCCUCUCGGAGUUGGAAUAAACGCUUUGAUAGUGUGAUCAAAGCAUUUGGUUUUAUACAGACUUUUGGAGAAGCCUGUAUUUACAAGAAAGUGAGUGGGAGCUCUAUAGCAUUUCUGAUAUUAUAUGUGGAUGACAUAUUACUGAUUGGAAAUGAUAUAGAGUUUCUGGAUAGCAUAAAGGGAUACCUGAAUAAGAGUUUUUCAAUGAAAGACCUCGGUGAAGCUGCUUACAUAUUAGGCAUUAAGAUCUAUAGAGAUAGAUCAAGACGCUUAAUUGGACUUUCACAAAGCACAUACCUUGACAAAGUUUUGAAGAAGUUCAAAAUGGAUCAAGCAAAGAAAGGGUUCUUGCCUGUGUUACAAGGUGUGAAAUUGAGUAAGACUCAAUCCCCGACCAAUGCAGAAGAUAGAGAGAAAAUGAAAGAUGUUCCCUAUGCUUCAGCCAUAGGCUCUAUCAUGUAUGCAAUGCUGUUUACCAGACCUGAUGUGUGCCUUGCUAUAAGUCUAGCAGGGAGGUACCAAAGUAAUCCAGGAGUGGAUCACUGGACAGCGGUCAAGAACAUCCUGAAAUACCUGAAAAGGACUAAGGAUAUGUUUCUCGUUUAUGGAGGUGACAAAGAGCUCAUCGUAAAUGGUUACGUUGAUGCGAGCUUUGACACUGAUCCGGACGAUUCUAAAUCGCAAACCGGAUACGUUUUUACAUUAAACGGUGGAGUUGUCAGUUGGUGCAGUUCUAAACAAAGCGUCGUGGCGGGAUCUACGUGUGAAGCAGAAUACAUAGCUGCUUCAGAAGCAGCAAAUGAAGGAGUCUGGAUGAAGGAGUUCAUAUCCGAUCUAGGUGUCAUACCCAGUGCAUCGGGUGAAAGGACCAUGAUGUCGCCUAGAGGGGGGUGAAUAGGCGUUUUAAAAUCUUUUACGGAUUUGGCUAUAUCCUAAUGCGGAAAUAAACUAAGCGGAUACUUUUCAAGCACAAAUCCUAAAUAUACUAGGCUCACUAAGUGCACCAACAACUUAGCAUAAACAAGAUGAGAACAACAGGAUAUGAGUAAGCACAAGUAAGUCACACAAACUUACUCGGUGUAUAUCACGAGGUAUGGAAAUGAAUAAUACACACAACCACAAGUAAGCAAUACAAGCUUACACAAAUUGUAUCACAAUAUAUGGAAUUUAAUGAUACAAGCAAACUCAAGUAAGUUACACAAACUUACUUGAGCAAUAUCACAAUAUAUGGAAGUUUAUAACACAAGUUAGCAAUUCACACUAAUCACAAUGUAUAUCAAUAGUAGCAAGUAUGAAUUGCGGAAUAUGAAGUGUAGGCCUAAAUAAUCUCUACAAGGAAAUGGCCAACACAAUAUAAUCAACCACCACAAUAUAAUGAGGACAACAAGAUAUAGUAAAUGCACGGUCAAAUGACCAAAGUCAACCACAAGUAAGGAGUUAGGGUUAGGGAUAACCAAAGUCACGGAGACGAGGAUGUAUCUCGAUGUUCACUUCCUUGGAGAGAAGCUAGUCACCGUUAGAGAGGUGGAUGUUACCACGAAGGCACACCAACGCCACGAAGGCUCACCCUAUUCUCCUUGAGAUAUCACCACGAAGGCAAUUCUAAACCACUAGUGGUAGACCUUGAGGCGGCCUCCAAACCUUCACAAACUUUCUGGGGGACAAAUCACAAGUUGAUUCCUCACCGGAGCACUCCUACCGCCUAGGAGUCUCCAACCUCCAAGAGUAACAAGAUCAAGGAGGAAAUGCUCAAGACUUGCUCAAAUCACGAAUUGCUUUGGUCACAAGAGGGAGAGGGAGAGGAUCUAUCUUUUGAUUGGAACAACUCUCAAGAACACUCACUAAUCUCUCCGGGAUCUAAGAUUUGGUGUAGGAGAAGUGAGAGGAAGCCACUUGUGUUCUUGGGAUGAUUUGGGAUGAAGUGCUCAAUCCUCCCCCGGAGUGGGAGAGGGAUAUUUAUACCCCCAAAGAAAAUAGAGCCGUUUCCCGCAGUUGUUGACCUGCCCGGAUGAUCUGGACGCAUACCCGGAUGAUCCGGGCAAUUCCCGGAUGAUCCGGGAAGGUCAAUAUACAAUGUGAUGAAGUAGAUACCCGAAUGUCCGGGGACAUAGCCGGAUGAUCCGGGCAAUUCCCGGAUGAUCCGGGUGGGUAGCCGGAUGAUCCGGCUAGCGGAAUAAGCUUCUGUGAUGAAUUUUACGAAUAACCCGGAUGAUCCGGGCAAAGCCCGGAUGAUAUGGGAGAGGACCCGGAUGAUCCGGCCAAACCAAACUGCUGCAGCCUAGAAAUUGAAACAGGCACAACUUUUACAUCCGGACUCCGAUUUUGAUGAUCUUGGGCUCGUUUUGAAGCUAUGAAAAAAACCCAGGUCCUCACAUAGAGAACCACCCAAGAUGAACCAAAAUGGAGGAUGCAAAAUAUGCAAAGGUUUUAUCAUGUAUUUGGGUAACCUAUUUGGCUUUGGAUUUUCUUUGGUAUAUAGGAUAUGAGUGGAAUUGUGUAGAGAAGAUGUUGACUUGAGCAAAUCUAUCACGAACCCCUUUGAUCCCCUCUUAAUAGUGCGAGAUCCCUAUAACUCAAGAAUCAUAAAAGGUCUACACUACAUAGCUAUCAAUAAUCCAUUCUUGAGUGUAUGUGUUCCUUCGGUGUUCAUCACUCCACAACACUAACGUCGAAGGAACUAAUACCUUUGACUCGAGCCUUUCACUUGAGCUUGAAGUUGAAGUUUCUUCUUGGAUCAAGUUGAAUGGCAAGACAUUGGUGAAGUCUUCAAGUAGCUCCCCCAUACACAAUGUGGGAAGCUUUGCUUUGUAUUUAUCUUCAUGUGUCCAUCAUGUGAUCAUCCACAAGCUUCAAGCAUGUAAUCCUUUGGGAUAGUUAUCUUGAACUUGCCCUUUUCAACCAUGAUCAUCAACACUUGAUGUCAUCCUCUCAUAGACACUUGAAAUAUCUCUCUCGAUGCGAGCCCAUGAGAAUCUCCUCUCAAAAACAUAGGCAACACAUAGUAUGGGUUAGUACACAAAGCGCAAUUGACAAAUUCUUACCAUACCACAAGAUCUCACGUGGCACAUGAUUUGCGCUUGUGUGUUGACCAUCUUUGAAUUCAAUCUUUGAUCUUCAUCUUGGUCAACCUUAAUCUUUGCUCCAUGAUUAAUCUUGAUGCACAACUACAUGUAUAUGGCAUUCAUUCCGAAUCCAUUCAAUAUCCUUCUUGCAUCACCCAUGGAACAAACCUUCCUAUAUAACUUGAUGUCAUUGUUUCUUCAUAGGAAUUGUCAUUCAUUAUCAAGUCUUAAUGCAUAUAUAGAUGUUGAUGGAUUUCAUCCACCAAUUCAUCCAAUAUUCUUCAUGCAUUGCAAAUGGAACUUUCCUUCAAAUGUAUAUCUCAGUGCAAACAUUAGUCCAUUAGGAUUGUCAUUUAAUUACCAAAACCACACAUGGGGACUACAUGUACUUUCAUCGGGUUCAAUGAAAAUCUUUUGUGACAAUACUGGUGCAAUUGCCUUGGCAAAGGAAUCCAGAUUUCACAAGAGAACCAAGCACAUCAAGAGACGCUUCAGUUCCAUCCGGGAUCUAGUCCAGGUGGGAGACAUAGAGAUUUGCAAGAUACAUACGGAUCUGAAUGUAGCAGACCCGUUGACUAAGCCUCUUCCACGAGCAAAACAUGAUCAGCACCAAGGCUCCAUGGGUGUUAGAAUCAUUACCGUGUAAUCUAGAUUAUUGACUCUAGUGCAAGUGGGAGACUGAAGGAAAUAUGCCCUAGAGGCAAUAAUAAAGUUAUUAUUUAUUUCCUUAUAUCAUGAUAAAUGUUUAUUAUUCAUGCUAGAAUUGUAUUAACCGGAAACAUAAUACAUGUGUGAAUACAUAGACAAACAGAGUGUCACUAGUAUGCCUCUACUUGACUAGCUCGUUAAUCAAAGAUGGUUAUGUUUCCUAACCAUGAACAAAGAGUUGUUAUUUGAUUAACGGGAUCAUAUCAUUAGGUGAAUGAUCUGAUUGACAUGACCCAUUCCAUUAGCUUAGCACCCGAUCGUUUAGUAUGUUGCUAUUGCUUUCUUCAUGACUUAUACAUGUUCCUAUGACUAUAAGAUUAUGCAACUCCCGUUUACCAGAGGAACACUUUGUGUGCUACCAAACGUCACAACGUAACCGGGUGAUUAUAAAGGUGCUCUACAGGUGUCUCCAAAGGUACAUGUUGGGUUGGUGUAUUUCGAGAUUAGGAUUUGUCACUCCGAUUGUCGGAGAGGUAUCUCUGGGCCCUCUCGGUAAUGCACAUCACAUAAGCCUUGCAAGCAUUGCAACUAAUGAUUUAGUUGUGAGAUGAUGUAUUACGGGACGAGUAAAGAGACUUGCCGGUAACGAGAUUGAACUAGGUAUUGAGAUACCGACGAUCGAAUCUCAGGCAAGUAACAUACCGAUGACAAAGGGAACAACAUAUGUUGUUAUGCGGUCUGACCGAUAAAAGAUCUUUGUAGAAUAUGUAGGAGCCAAUAUGAGCAUCCAGGUUCCGCUAUUGGUUAUUCACCAGAGACGUGUCUCGGUCAUGUCUACAUUGUUCUCGAACCCGUAGGGUCCGCACGCUUAAGGUUUCGAUGAAAGUUAUAUUAUGAGUUUAUGCAUUUUGAUGUACCGAAGUUUGUUCGGAGUCCCGGAUGUGAUCACGGACAUGACGAGGAGUCUUGAAAUGGUCGAGACAUAAAGAUUGAUAUAUUGGAAGCCUAUAUUUGGAUAUCAGAAGUGUUCCGGGUGAAAUCGGGAUUUUACCGGAGUACCGGGAGGUUAUCGGAACCCCCGGGGAGGUAUAUGGGCCUUAGGGGCUUUAGUGGAAGAGAGGAGAGGUGGCUAGGGCUGGGCCGCGCGCCCCUCCCCCCCUAGUUCGAAUAGGACAAGGAGAGGGGGGCGGCGCCCCCUCUUUCCUUCUCUCUCUCCUCUUUCCCCCUCCCGAAUCCUAUUCCAACUAGGAAAGGGGGGGAAUUCUACUCCCGGUGGGAGUAGGACUCCUCCUGGCACGCCCUCCUCCUGGCCGGCCGCACCCCCCCUUUGAUCCUUUAUAUACGGAGGCAGGGGGCACCCCUAGACACACAAGUUGAUCCACGUGAUCAUAUUCUUAGCCGUGUGCGGUGCCCCCUUCCACCAUAGUCCUUGAUAAUAUUGUAGCGGUGCUUAGGCGAAGCCCUGCGACGGUAGUACAUCAAGAUCGUCACCACGCCGUCGUGCUGGCGGAACUCUUCCCCGACACUUUGCUGGAUUGGAGUCCGGGGAUCGUCAUCGAGCUGAACAUGUGCUAGAACUCGGAGGUGUCGUAGUUUCGGUGCUUGAUCGGUCAGGCCUUGAAGACGUACGACUACAUCAACCGCGUUGUGCUAACGCUUCCGCUGUCGGUCUACAAGGGUACGUAGAUCACACUCUCCCCUCUCGUUGCUAUGCAUCACCAUGAUCUUGCGUGUACAUAGAAAUUUUUUAAAAAUUACUACAUUCCCCAACAGUAUCUCUUUCCACCUUUUGUCAACACGCCAUUCAUCUCACAAAGAUCAGAAUGUAUAAGCUCUAGUGGCGCCAAGUUUCUUGCCUCUGCAUUCUUAUGUGACUUGCGAGGUUGCUUAGCUUGCACACAUACUUGGCACUUGGAGCCUUUGACAGUAGAGAUUUUCGGAAUUAAAUUCAUAUUGGCUAACCGCGUCAUGCAGCCAAAGUUAAUAUGAUAGAGUCGUGAAUGCCAAAUAUCAGACUCAUUAUUGUGGCACUAAUAACUUUAGUGCAAAUAUCUGACAAAGAUAGGCGGAACAAGCCUCCGCACUCAUAGCCUUUUCCAACAAAUUGUCCACACUUAGAAAUUACAACUUUAUUGGAUUCGAAAACCAACUUAAAACCAUCUCGACAUAAACGGGAACCGCUAACGAGAUUUUUAUUGAUGGAUGGCACAUGAUGAAUGUUCUUCAGACGCACAGUCUUCCCCGAAGUAAACUUCAGAUCGACCGUACCAACACCUCGAACGAUGGCAUGUGACCCGUUCCCCAUCAGCACGGGUGAAGUCCCUGUUGCCUGGUAAGAAAAAAACAUGGAGGCGUCAGCACAAACAUGUACAUUGGCACCAGUGUCAAUUAACCAAUCAGGGGAUUGAAAUACUAAAAGGAUGGUAGGAAAAAUACCAUACCCUGAUUCCUUCAUAUCAGUAUCACCGAUGACAACAUUAGCGGACUUGCCGCUCUUCUCAUGUUCGCGCUCCUCAAAGCGGUUAGGACACUUCGGAGCCCAGUGAUUAGGAUCACCGCAGACAUGGCAAAGUCCCUUCCCCUUCUUAUGAGAAUUCUUCUUGAAGUUGGUAGAAUGUGAUGGCUUGUUCUUUGUAUCAAACUUGCCUUUGCCCUGAGUUUUGUUCUUAUUAUUUUUGAACUUGUUGGGUUGGGAGUUCUUCUUAUGUACCAUGUGGGCACUAGAACCUCCCUCAGCAACUCGAGCACGUGUGUCCUUUGCUCUCGCCUUCUCUUCAACAUCAAGAGUACCAAUGAGAUCCGCAACGGAAAACACCUGUCUCUUGUGUUUCAGGGAAGUAGCAAAAUUAUUUCACGAAGGUGGAAGCUUGGCAAUGAUGCCUCCGGCAACAAAUUUGUCCGGCAACACACACUUGAAGUACUCAAGUUCUUUUGCGAGCGACUGUAUCUCAUGAGCCUGCUAUACAACGGGCGCUCAUCAGUCAUCUUGUAGUCAUAGAAUUGCUCCAUGACGUACAACUCGCUGCCGGCGUCCGAGGCACCAAACUUGGCCUCGAGCGCAGCCCACAUGUCCUCGCCGUUGUCAAACGACAUAUACGAAUCCACAAUGGAGUCAUCAAGAACACUCAGAAGAGCGCCUUUAAAGAGGGUAUCGAUCUUCUCAAAAGCUUCCAGCUGUGCUGGAUUAAGAUCGCCCUCAGGCUUGCCCCUGGUGGCAUCAUAGCAGGCCAUGGUCUGAAACCAGUAGACUGCUCUCGUGCGCCACCUCUUAUAUUGCGCCUCCUUAAAGGCAAGCGGCUUCAGAUGCGCAACAAAACCACUCGGAGUAAAUUGUCUAUAAUCAGGUUUUUGGAUUGUUGGAAAUAUGAGCAAAUUACUACGAGAUUUAAUCCGAAUAAACAGAAGAUAAAUCAUGACCACAUCAGUAGAGAUUAAACUAAUCAUGCGAACUAGCAUAGCAGAUGAACAUAUCACAUCUAGGGUACAUACUAGAAGCAUGAAUUCUACCACGAUCUCGAACAGGAAGGAUAGAAUCACAUACGGUGCAGCAGGUGCAGCACCGCCGGCGUUGACGUUGUCGCCCAUGUCGUCGAGGACGAGGUUGCCGAGGUCGGGGAAGAAGUCAUCGUUCGCGAAGUCGUCGCUGCCAGCAGUCGCGCGAGUGCGCUCCCCAAAAACCUGAUCGCCCCUCUCCCAUACAGGAUCACGAGAGGCGGGGUUCCGGAGGCCUGUUGUCCCUUCUCGCGGUGCACGCCGGAAGGAGGGAUGGAGAAGACUUGCUUGGCGGCGCAAUGAUCUGGAACGGUGGUGAGAAACCAUACGAAGCGGCGGCGGCUAGGGUAGACGUCUGCCUGACUAUAUAGUACGGGCCGGGUAGGUCGUGGGAGUAAACCCCACGUCCGAAUCGUCACGAUCCAAAAAAAUCAGAAACGGUUCAGUAAUUAACGCGUCCGUUAAUUAUUAAUUAAUGACUCAUUGCACCUCGUGACGAGACGUGGCGUGGCGAGGCGAGUGAGGAGGAGCGCGCAUGUAGGUCUCCUCUUCUCAUGCUCAUACAAGUGGUAGAAGAGCUCACCUUAUAAAGAGGUGCAACUCUCUCUCAACUUCCGGGGGGGGGGACUAAACUUUAGGAGGUGUUUGGUUGGAUGAUUUCUGCCCGUCACCUAAUUACAGCGUGAUCUGAAAACGUUAUGCGCGUUUGGUAACGCAGCGCCGUAAUCGGCUCCCACCGUAAACGAGUCCCGUCACACUUGCACUCGAUACCGCCCACCCCCCACCGUAAUCAAGUUGCGUUACCGAACCGAGCCCCACUCUUUUUCCUCGCCUCCUCACAAUCCUCUCUGCCUCGUCCAAAGUCGCCCGUCAGGCUGCCCCGAUCCCUUCGCUUUAUUGAAGCCGCCGGUUAGUGCCACCACUUCCCUCCUUCCAGUCGCCGGAGAUGCCUCCAUGGCCUGCAUCUCAGUGAGGAACCCCAUCGACGCCGACAAGGACAGGCUUGAGGAUGACCCCUCUUAUCCCUCUUCCUUGGAACCCCCCACCCCCGAUCUGCUCGCCGGCCAAAUCCCUUUCCAUGAUUUGUUUAUUGCUCAAGUUAAUUGUCGUCAAGAUCAUGUUAGCUUGUUCCUGACUUCGAUUCUGUGAGAUUUUUUGUUUUUUGCAAUCUGAUUACACAGCAGAUCAUGUUAGCUCUGUAACUUGAUACCUUGAUCAUGUUAGCUCUGUAACUUGAUACCUUUACAUGCAUGAAACAAACAGAAAAGCAAAUGCUCCUAUUACGCCGUGAUCCCACCGCUACCUGAUUCCAUUACCAGUCUCGCUACCUUUGGUUGUACCAAACACAUCCUUAGCCUCACUCACUCCACUCACAUGUGUGCAUGAAUAGACCAAGAGAAUUUCAAAAUUUUAGUUGAGCUUUGGGCCAAAGGCCUACUAGCAAAAUUCCAACACCAUGUGCUUUGGGAGCAACCAGGUGACAUUAUGCACGUGCAUCCAUUGAAACUUAGUUCGGAUGGACAAAAUGAAUCCUAUUUUUUGUAGUGAAAAUUACUAAAUCCUUGGCAAAAUUGCUCCAGCACACAUCUAUAUUACGUAUUCACCAAACAUUUGAUUUAUGUCAUUUUUCCAAUAAGAAUACUGCUUUUUUGAGAGAAAACAGUACAGUACUAGUAUUAGGCCGCGCUUGGAAUCGGUGUAAAUAUAUACAAGUGUAUUUUUCUUACGGGUGUAUCUUACCGGUCAGGAGCGAUUUGCAGGCGGAAACGAAAACGACGGACGGUGGCCUGUAACUUUUACAAGCGUAUUCAAAGUAGAAACAACAUUCCAAACAGGGCCUUAGGUAUUUCUGUUCUGAGCAAAACUGUACUUCCUCCAUUACUAAAUAUUUGUCUUUGUAGAUAUUCUAACAAGUGACUACAUACGGAGUAAAAUGAGUGAAUCUACAUUCUAAAAUAUGUCUACGUAAAAUGAGUGAAUCUACAUUCUAAAAUAUGUCUACAUACAUUCGUGUGUGGUAGUCUAUUUAAAAUAUUUAGAAAGACAAAUAUUUAGGAACGAGGAAGUACUAUUUAGGUGCGAAAUUACGAAUUAAACUUCCGCCAGUAGUUUUUUUUCCCGAGGCAAACCAGUAGAUUCCAGCAAAAAGGGAAACUACUGCCAGAAGGAACUACUGGGCCUAGCAAUUUAGAGCCCAAUUCUUAUCAAAUGACGACCAGAAAUAGGCCCACGGCCUGAACCACCAGCGGGGCCCACGACUUGAACUACCAGGGCAGCGCAGGGGCGUAGCAGGUUUAGUACCACCUCGCGAACGGGAGGAGAACGCAGCCGAAGAGCCACCUAUAUAACAGGCGCCUUGGCCAACGUUGCAAAGCACUUACCUGGACGGGGUCAACAGCCGAUCAAGAAGAGCUGUGGCCUAGAUCAAUGGCUCACAUUGCACCUUGUUGAGUGUGUUGGCCUACCAUCUCCCUACGGGGAGAGUGGACGUCAUAAUUUGUGCUAGAGGGGGUACGCGUUCGCGCGGCCCCUGCCAAUCUUUGAAAAUUAAAAUUCGGUCCUUGGCAGCGAUUGUUUGUGCUUCUCUGUUGCCCCUGCCGCUCUUCCAAAUUUCUCGUCCUGCACUGCAGUUUACGAUGGAUGUUUGGCAGCUACAUGGCCCAUAGUACACACUUCUAAACUACCGUACAGAAUAGCCUAAGCCUUAAAGUACAGACAAGCUAAAAUAGAACACACGAUACAGAUUAGCCACUACUAGUAGAGGCCAAUAAAAUAAGAGACACUGUCACCGCCAUGCAUAGUGUAGUGGUACUAGAGGAGAUGGCAUGUCACGCUGGGAAGCCGUUGACUGCAUGCGUAGGUGCGGAGCGUUUAGGCGAUGUCGAUGGAGCGGACGUUGCGCUGCUUCUGGGCUUGCUCGUCCUUGGGCACGACGACCCUGAGCACGCCGUCCUGCAUGGUGCACCGGAUGCCGUCCGCCUUGGCGUUCUCCGGCAGGCGGAACCGGCGCAUGAAGGACCCGAAGCUGCGCUCCACGCGGUUCCACGCGUCGCCCUUGUGCUCCUCCUCCCGCGUCUUCUCCCCGCUGAUCUUGAGCACGUUGCCGUCCUCCACCUCCACCUUCACGUGCUCCUUCCUCACCCCUACACGCACGGCAGGUCGGCAGCAGCAUCAAUGGAUCAGAUGGAAAGCUUUUCUGUGAGGCCACCACCUCAACCAUAAGGACACGGGACACCACGUACUUACCGGGUAUCUCCGCGGAGAAGAUGUGCUCCUUGUCGUUCUCGUGCCAGUCAAUGUUGGUGCGAGCCAUGGCGGUGGCGUCGUCGCGGCUGCCGCCUUCGCCGCCUCGGCGGCCGGCGUCCAAGGGCCAGGAAGCGCCGAAGGGGUCCCAGAGGUCGGAGGAGAAGGGGUCCCAGAGGUCGGAGGAGAAGGGGUCCAUCCCUCCCCGGCCACCGCCGAACCAAGGCAUAAGCGACAUGGCUGACACGCACGGUGGGUGUUUGGUUGGCACUAUGUCCCACGAGACGGAUAUGCUACCAGGCUGUUUGUGGUGGCAAGAGCGCUUUCUCCUGGGCAGUUUUAUAGCACUCCAAAGCGCUUGCAUACAUGGCCGCGUGGAGCAUCGGCUUGACACGUUCGCUGUGUACGUGCCGCCCGCGUGCACAGGUGUUGCCGCAGCGACGACUCUUGUGAUGCUUGCCGCUGGCCACUCCGGCCGCGGCGGCCACCAGAUCCCGGUGCGCGCCGGGCGCGCCCUCUCGCCAAAGAGCCAUGGGGCGCUCGCGCUCGUCCAGAUCCACCGGCGGUCGACGUUGGUGCCAGUCGACGUUGGUGCGAGCCGUCGCGGCUGCCGCCUUGGCGUCCGGCGUCCAAGGGCCAGGAAGCGCCGAAGGGGUCCCAGAGGUCGGAGGAGAAGGGGUCCAUCCCUCCCCGGCCACCGCUGAACCAAGGCAUGAGCGACAUGGCUGGCUGACACGCACGGCGAUGUUUGGUUGAAACGAUGUCCCACGAGACAGAUAUGCUACCGGGCUGUUUGUAGUGG
rnacentral:lncRNA from 1 species